rnacentral:misc_RNA from 1 species
GAUGAAGAACGCAGCGAAAUGCGAUACUUGGUGUGAAUUGCAGAAUCCCGUGAACCAUCGAGUCUUUGAACGCAAGUUGCACCCGAAGCCAUUAGGCCGAGGGCACGCCUGCCUGGGCGUCACACGUCGUUGCCCCCCCAUCUACUCCUUCGGGAUUGCGGGGGGCGGAUGAUGGCCUCUCGUGCGCCUCGUCGCGCGGUUGGCCUAAAUGCCAAGUCCUCGGCGACGCACGCCACGACAAUCGGUGGUUGCGAAACCUCGGUUGCCUGUCGUGUGCGGUCGUCGCGCAUCGAGGGCUCGAAAAAAUUGCCGGGCUUCGGCUCGACUUUCAACGCGACCCCAGGUCAGGCGGGGUUACCCGCUGAAUUUAAGCAUAUCAAUAAGCGGAGGA